UCGAAUCCCACAACGAGUAGACCGCGCACAUGUAUAUUCUGUACGGGGCACCCGAUGGGAGGGUGCGUGACGGCCUCUUGUUGGUUGCCCCCCGCCCGCGCCUGACCCUCGUGCGAGCGAGUGCAACAGGCGGMGAAACAACAACCCACGGCGUAGAAAAGGCGCCAAGGAUCACAAACGUGGAAUGCUACCCUCGUCGUGCACCCGUUCAUGGUGUGCCGUUCGGGGGAUUUGCAUCUCCCAAGAUUGACUACGGAAAAUAU
rnacentral:misc_RNA from 1 species